AAAAACUCCUAGCUGUUCUAUUACAAAAAAAGAAGUACAAAAUAACAAGUUUGAUAACAUAAAUAAUCAAUAAUUAUUUAACGAUAAAAGUCCUUUUAAAUUAUAAUCAUAUAAAAUGAAUAAAAAAACUCAAAGCAAUAAAAAGAAAAACCACAUACUCAAAACUCCGGCAACCACUGGUCCAGCACUGUAACUAAACGCACUGUUAUCAUCCGCCGUUGAAUCUGCAAAAUCGUCACUGGGACCAUCCGCCGGUGAGUCCGCCGGAGUAUCAGCUGCCGCCGGCGCCUUGUGUUUCUUCUUCUUUUUAGAUGGUUCAGGUGAAUCGGCAUCCGGUGCCGGUGCCGGCGCCGGAGUAUCUGCGGCAGCUGAAGCCUUGAAUAGUUCCUUAGGCAUUAGAACUUUAUUAAUAGUGAAAAUAGCAAUAGGCUGUUCAUCAAUAAGAGUUCCGGUGAUCUUCGCCGUCACAAUCUUCGUCUUCAAUGUCACUGUAUCGCCGUCAUUUUGAACAACGAAGUCAUACUUCUUAGCUCCAUCAGUAGCUAAAGUAUUCAUCACGCCAUUGUUCGAUUUCAAGCUCGCCAUAGAUUGAUAUACCGGAACCCCAUGAUACUCAAGCAACGAUUGCUUCCCGUCGGCAGUCAGAUUCUUAAACUUAGGCAUAAAAUUCUUCAUCGCAUCAUCUCCAGGACAAAACACCGUUAACCCACCAUCAGCGUUCUCAUCAAAAGUCUUCUCAGCAGGAGAUUUCAACAAUGUUUCAGCAAAAACCCUACACCCAUGAGCCGACAUUAGCGAAGUCAGAUUCAUCUGACUCGGUUCCGGCGUCGGAGCUUCAGCUGAAGCAGACGGCAGCAUCGUACUAAUCUGUAUAACAGAUAUAUUAUACGGUAUCUCCUCAACAGAUUUAACAAAAGUAGCCGGAAGAUUACCAUGAUUCUCCGCCGGCCCAAAUCCAACUUUCCCACCUUUCAGAUCUGUAAUGUUAACAAACCCAGUCGAACCAGGAGCUGAACCGGUUGCCUGAAACAUAGUUGCAGCUAACGCAGUGCCAUUAGUGAUUUGAUGAAGUUUCUUCGCACCGAAGUAAUCUAAAAGUACGUGAAGUGAAAUGACGUUUUUGAUAGUGUAAAUGGAGAGAUGCUUAGAGAGAAGCUCCUCCAUGCCGGCGUUGUCGACGGCGCAGACAGUUAUGGUUUCCCGGCUGUUAAUCUCGGCGGCGAGAUGGGUUUCAGUUAAGUAAUGGUUGAAAGUGGAAAAUUGUGGGUAUUUUGCUAAAAUAUGUGUGAUAUUGUGAGCUGAGGUUGUAUGUGGUGAAAGCAAAAGACCUAAAGAGAAGACCACCAUGGCCACGGCGGUCAUUGACCGGAGCUGCAUUAUUGCUAAAGAGAGAAGAAAGAGAAGCAGAGAGAGAGUAAACACAAUGUGUG
rnacentral:misc_RNA from 1 species